UUGAAGAUCUCACAGACCUAAUAGACCUGGCCUUUCCUCUCUGCCUCUGGCUUUAUGUCUCUUUCAUCCUCCUCUGCCUUUCCCCUGCCCUUGAUCCCUUCUGCAGGUCUUGGCUGGUUUCAGGAAACAGGUCCCAUCCCAUGGAUUCCCACUCUGGGGAGCCAGCGCUCCUGCCCUGUGGGACCUGUGACAUGGUUUUCCGCUCCUCAGCUCUGUUGGCCACCCACACUCAGCGCUUCUGCAUUGGCCACCCGACCCAAGAGAUGACAUUUGGAGCACAGGCGUCAGUUGCCACUGAACCCCAGCGGGCCGCGGUUGUGCCACAAGAACUCCAGGGCGUGCCACAAGAACCCCAGGGCCUCCCAGACCAGCAGGCCAGUAAAUCUGCUCUAAAGAGGUUAACAGAGGAGGUACAGCUACCUACCUUUCCCCAGGGCUCAAAACGUUGAGCGUCUUCCCCAAACCUGUAGAUCAUACUUGGGACAGAUUCUGCCCACACAGAGAUCGCGGAUCGCUGUUACCUCCAGGUGCAGUGGCUGCGGCUAUCCCUACAGGAAAUGCGGCCCUGGAUAACAGAGGUCCCCAGGGUGUUCGCGGGGCCCUGGACGCGUUCCGAGGCGCGGCCUCAGAGUCCCAUGUCGGAGGCGGUGGGAAGCCCCAGCGAGCGGCUGCGGGCGCUGUUCAGGACUCGCGCGAGGCGCGUGGCGGAGAUGGAAGCGCAGAGCCGGGCCCUGCAGCGACGCGGCGAGGGUGAAGGAGAUGGGGGAUGGGGACCAAGGACCUCCUCUGCCCCUUGCCCUUUGGCUUAAGCUUGCCCGGGCCGGUUCUGACUCGGCCCGCAUUCCCUCAGAACUGAGCCGGCGCCUCCAAGUUGUGGCCUGUACACGGGGCGGGAUGUCCCGCCUCUUCGGCCUGGAGCAGGAGAUUCGAGAACUACAAGCUGAGGCCGGGAGGACGCGGGGAGCUCUAGAGGUGUUGGGGGCCCGCAUUCAGGAGCUGCAGGCGGAGCCAGGGUGAGACCCGACGAAGCGGAACCCCGGAACAUGCGGCUCCGGGGUGGGACGGGCGGGCUGGCUGGGGCUCCGGGGCGGGACGGGCGGGCUGGCUGGGGCUCCGGGGCCUCUGAUGCGUUACCGUCUCCCUGCGCGUCGCCUGCCACCCCAGGAACCCGCUGAGCUCCCGGCGAGAGGCAGAACUUUAUUCUCCAGUGCUAAAGGCCAACCCGGGAACUCUGGCUGCCGAAAUCCGGGCCCUGCGGGAGGCCUACAUUCGAGACGGGGGCCGGGACCCCGGCGUGCUGGGCCAGAUAUGGCAGUUGCAGUUGGAGGCGUCUGCACUGGAGCUGCAGCGGUCGCAGACCCGCAGAGGAAGGGCAGGUGCCACCUCAGGGGAGCUCCCAGUAGUGGAGGCUGAAAACCGGCGCCUGGAGGCAGAA
rnacentral:sRNA from 1 species